rnacentral:rRNA from 1 species
UACGGGGGGGGGCAAGCGUUUGUUCGGAAUUACUGGGCGUAAAGGGCUCGUAGGCGGCCAACUAAGUCAGACGUGAGAUCCCCAGCUUAACCUGGGAACUGCGUCUGAUACUGGAUGGCUUGAAUUCGGGAGAGGGAUGCAGAAUUCCAGGUGUAGCGGUGAAAUGCGUAGAUAUCUGGAGGAAUACCGGUGGCGAAGGCGGCAUCCUGGACCGACAUUGACGCUGAGGAGCGAAAGCUAGGGGAGCAACGGGG